GACGAACGCUGGCGGCGUGCCUAAUACAUGCGAGUCGAACGCACAGUUUAUACCGUAGCUUGCUACACCAUAGACUGUGAGUUGCGAACGGGUGAGUAACGCGUAGGUAACCUGCCUGGUAGCGGGGGAUAACUAUUGGAAGCGAUAGCUAAUACCGCAUAAUAUUAAUUAUUGCAUGAUAAUUAAUUGAAAGGUGCAAUUGCACCACUACCAGAUGGACCUGCGUUGUAUUAGCUAGUAGGUGAGGUAACGGCUCACCUAGGCGACGAUACAUAGCCGACCUGAGAGGGUGAUCGGCCACACUGGGACUGAGACACGGCCCAGACUCCUACGGGAGGCAGCAGUAGGGAAUCUUCGGCAAUGGACGAAAGUCUGACCGAGCAACGCCGCGUGAGGGAAGAAGGGUUUCGGAUCGUAAAGCUCUGUUGUAAGAGAAGAACGGGUGUGAGAGUGGAAAGUUCACACUGUGACGGUAGCUUACCAGAAAGGGACGGCUAACUACGUG
rnacentral:rRNA from 1 species